GGCAACGUGGCUUAGUGGUUAGAACGAUUGCCUCACACCUCCGGGGUUGGGGGAUCAAAUCCCUCCUCUGUCC